GGGGGCGUGGCGAAAUUGGUAGACGCACUGGAUUUAGGUUCCAGCGCCGCAAGGUGUAAGAGUUCGAGUCUCUUCGCCC
rnacentral:tRNA from 1 species